rnacentral:rRNA from 1 species
UACAGAGGGUGCAAGCGUAAAUCGGAAUUACUGGGCGUAAAGCGUGUGUAGGUGGUUUGCUAAGUCAGGUGUGAAAUCCCUGGGCUCAACCUAGGAAUUGCAUUUGAUACUGGCAGACUAGAGUGCGGUAGAGGAUGGUGGAAUUCCCGGUGUAGCGGUGAAAUGCGUAGAUAUCGGGAGGAACAUCAGUGGCGAAGGCGGCCAUCUGGACUGACACUGACACUGAGACACGAAAGCGUGGGGAGCAAACAGG